CAGCCGCCACGGUAAUACGUAGGGUGCAAGCGUUAAUCGGAAUUACUGGGCGUAAAGCGUGCGCAGGCGGUUAUAUAAGUCAGAUGUGAAAUCCCCGGGCUCAACCUGGGAACUGCAUUUGAGACUGUAUGGCUAGAGUGUGUCAAAGGGGGGUAGAAUUCCACGUGUAGCAGUGAAAUGCGUAGAUAUGUGGAGGAAUACCGAUGGCGAAGGCAGCCCCCUGGGAUAACACUGACGCUCAUGCACGAAAGCGUGAGGAGCAAACAGGAUUAGAUACCCGCGUAGUCCCUGUCUCUUAUCC
rnacentral:rRNA from 1 species